rnacentral:rRNA from 1 species
UGAAUACGAGAUGCUACGGCUUCGAAGCAGUCUAUGUCAUACUUCCAAGAAAAGCUUGCACUGUCAUAAACAAAUAAUGCCUGUACCAUAACCGACACAGGUGGGUAGGUAGAGUAUACUAAGGGGCGCGAGAUAACUCUCUCUAAGGAACUCGGCAAAAUGACUCCGUAACUUCGGGAGAAGGAGUGCCUUAUUUUAUAAGGUUGCAAUAACAAGAUCCAAGCAACUGUUUACCAAAAACACAGGUCUCCGCUAAGUCGUAAGACGAUGUAUGGGGGCUGACGCCUGCCCAGUGCCAGAAGGUUAAAGAAGUUGGUUAGCAUUAGCGAAGCUGAUAACUGAAGCCCUGGUGAACGGCGGCCGUAACAAUAACGGUCCUAAGGUAGCGAAAUUCCUUGUCGGGUAAGUUCCGACCCGCACGAAAGGCGUAAUGAUUUGGAUACUGUCUCGGAGAGGGGCUCGGUGAAAUAGACUUGUCUGUGAAGAUGCGGACUACCUGCACCAGGACAGAAAGACCCUAUGAAGCUUUACUGUAACUUGAGAUUGAAAUUGGACUUUAUUUGCGCAGUAUAGGUGGGAGACGUUGAAAAUAUUCUUGCGGGAAUAUUGGAGUCAUCAGUGAGAUACCACUCUUAUAAUGUUAGAUUUCUAACUUUGUAUCAUUAUCUGGUCAAAGAACAGUCUCAGGCGGGCAGUUUGACUGGGGCGGUCGCCUCCCAAACGGUAACGGAGGCGCACAAAGGUUUCCUCUGAACGUGUAGAAAUCGUAUCUAGAGUGUAAAGGCAUAAGGAAGCUUGACUGUGAGACCUACAAGUCGAGCAGGGACGAAAGUCGGUCUUAGUGAUCUGACGGUGCUGAGUGGAAAGGCCGUCACUCAACGGAUAAAAGUUACUCUAAGGAUAACAGGCUGAUCUCCCCCAAGAGUUCACAUCGACGGGGAGGUUUGGCACCUCGAUGUCGGCUCAUCGCAUCCUGGGGCGGUAGUACGUCCCAAGGGUUGGGCUGUUCGCCCAUGAAAGCGGUACGCGAGCUGGGUUCAGAACGUCGUGAGACAGUUCGGUCCAUAUCCGGUGUAGGCGUUAGAAUAUUGAGAGGAGCCUUCUUUAGUACGAGAGGACCGAGAAGGACAUACCUCUGGUGUACCAGUUAUCGUGCCAACGGUAAACGCUGGGUAGCUAUGUAUGGAGAGGAUAACCGCUGAAAGCAUCUAAGUGGGAAGCCCACCUCAAGAUAAG